CAGACUACCAUACCAACUGUCAGCAGUACCACUGAGGCUACAACCACACCAGUUACCACUUCAACAGAACAGACUACUACACCAACUGCCAGCACUACCACUGAGGCUACUACCACAACAGCCACCACUUCAACAGAACUGACUACCACACCAACUAGCAGCACUACCACUGAGGCUGCUACAGCAACAGCCACCACUACCAUUUCCACCAAAACUACAACCACCGCAACAGCCACCACUUCAACGGAACAGACUACCACCCCAACCUUCAGCACCACCACUGAGGCUACCACCACAACACGUACCACUUCAACUGAACAGACUACCACACCAACUGCCAGCACUACCACUGAGGCUACAACCACAACAGCCACCACUUCCAUGGAACAGACUACCACACCUACUGCCAGCACUACCAUUGAGGCUACCACCACAACACCUAGCACUUCAACUGAACAGAUUACUACACCAACUGCCAGCCCUACCACUGAGGCUACUUCCACAGCAGCCACCACUUCAACUGAACUGACUACUACACCAACUACCAGCACCACCACUGAGACUGCUACUGCAACAGCCACCACUACCAUUUCCACUGACACUACAAUCACCACAGCAGCUAUCACUUCAACUGAACCAACUACCACAAUGACUACCAGAAGUACUACUGAGGCUGCCACAACAGCCACAACUUUAAUGGAACCAAGUACCACACCAACUUCCAGCCCUACCACGGAGGUUACAACCACAACAGCCACCACUACUGCUCCCACAGAAUCUACAACCACAAUAGCCACUACAUCAACUGAACAGACUACCACACCAACUACCAGCACUACCACUGAGACUACCACUGCAACAGCCACCACUUCAACAGAACUGACUACCACACCAACUACCAGCACUACCACUGAGACUACCACUGCAACAGCCACCACUUCAACAGAACUGACUACCACACCAACUACCAGCACUACCACUGAGGCUACCACUGCAACAGCCACCACUACCAUUUCCACUGAAACUACAACUACCACAGCAGCCACCACUUCUACUGAGCAGACUACCAUACCAACUGUCAGCAGGACCACUGAAGCUACAACCACAACAGCCACCACUUCAACGGAACAGACUACCACACCAACUUCUGGCACUACCACUGAGGCUACCACAGCCGUAGCCAGUACUUCAACUGAACAGACUACCACACCACCUACCAGUAGUACCACUGAGGCUACCACCACAGCAGCCACCACUACAACAGAACUGCCUACCAC
rnacentral:lncRNA from 1 species